rnacentral:rRNA from 1 species
GCAGUCGCCGCGGUAAUACGUAGGUGGCAAGCGUUGUCCGGAAUUAUUGGGCGUAAAGCGCGCGCAGGUGGUUUAAUAAGUCUGAUGUGAAAGCCCACGGCUCAACCGUGGAGGGUCAUUGGAAACUGUUAAACUUGAGUGCAGGAGAGAAAAGUGGAAUUCCUGGUGUAGCGGUGAAAUGCGUAGAGAUUAGGAGGAACACCAGUGGCGAAGGCGGCUUUUUGGCCUGUAACUGACACUGAGGCGCGAAAGCGUGGGGAGCAAACAGGAUUAGAUACCCCAGUAGUCCCUGUCUCUUAUAC